GUGUCAGCCGCCGCGGUAACACGUAGGUGGCAAGCGUUGUCCGGAUUUACUGGGCGUAAAGGAAGCGUAGGCGGCUGUUUAAGUGAGAUGUGAAAUACCCGAGCUCAACUUGGGUGCUGCAUUUCAAACUGUAUAGCUAGAGUGCAGGAGAGGAAAGCGGAAUUCCUAGUGUAGCGGUGAAAUGCGUAGAGAUUAGGAAGAACACCAGUGGCGAAGGCGGCUUUCUGGACUGUAACUGACGCUGAGGCAUGAAAGCGUGGGGAGCAAACAGGAUUAGAUACCCAAGUAGUCC
rnacentral:rRNA from 1 species